ACUCACAAAAAAAUGUGAGAAGCGGCAGAUGCUCUUUUCACACAGAAAGCAGGAAGUUUCAAUGUGUUUGAGAGUGAAACUGCAGAGACUCACAGUAACACAGAUCUACAGCUCAGAGCACAGACAACAUUAACACACACCUGAUCUGACCUAGUCAACAUGGAAAAACACCAGCUUCACCUGCUUCUCAUUUUAAUUCUGGCUUCAGGUGUGAUGACUGCAGACCAGAUUAGGCCAAAUAAAGAUGCAGCUGUCAUGAAGGAAGAUGAGACUGUGGCCCUCAGCUGCUCAUAUGACACAAGCAGCAGUUAUGUUAGACUUUAUUGGUUCAGACAGUAUCCUAAUGGGGAGCUUCGCUACUUAAUAUACAAGGCUGCACGGUCAAGUAGUGGAAGUGGGAGACCCGCUGAUCCUCGCUUUGAGUCGACUACAUCAGAUAAAUCAACUGAACUCACUAUUACUGGUGUAACUCUGUCAGAUUCAGCUCUCUUUUAUUGUGCUCUAAGAGUUGGAGCCCAGUGAUACAAAGUCUAUGUGAAGCCGUACAAAAACUCUAAUUAUUUUUUCCCUUUAAUGUCAAGCCACAUCAAAUCCAGAAUCUAGAAUUCACAGAAUAUAACUACACUUGU